rnacentral:rRNA from 1 species
AGAGUUUGAUCCUGGCUCAGGAUGAACGCUAGCUACAGGCUUAACACAUGCAAGUCGAGGGGCAGCAUGGUCUUAGCUUGCUAAGGCCGAUGGUGACCGGCGCACGGGUGAGUAACGCGUAUCCAACCUGCCUUACACUCUUGGACAGCCUUCUGAAAGGGAGAUUAAUACAAGAUGUUAUCAUGAGUAAGCAUUUUCGCAUGAUUAAAGGUUUACCGGUGUAAGAUGGGGAUGCGUUCCAUUAGAUAGUAGGCGGGGUAACGGCCCACCUAGUCUUCGAUGGAUAGGGGUUCUGAGAGGAAGGUCCCCCACAUUGGAACUGAGACACGGUCCAAACUCCUACGGGAGGCAGCAGUGAGGAAUAUUGGUCAAUGGACGAGAGUCUGAACCAGCCAAGUAGCGUGAAGGAUGAAGGUUCUAUGGAUUGUAAACUUCUUUUAUACGGGAAUAAACGAAUCCACGCGUGGAUUUUUGCAUGUACCGUAUGAAUAAGGAUCGGCUAACUCCGUGCCAGCAGCCGCGGUAAUACGGAGGAUCCGAGCGUUAUCCGGAUUUAUUGGGUUUAAAGGGAGCGUAGAUGGGUUGUUAAGUCAGUUGUGAAAGUUUGCGGCUCAACCGUAAAAUUGCAAUUGAUACUGGCAGUCUUGAGUACAGUUGAGGUAGGCGGAAUUCGUGGUGUAGCGGUGAAAUGCUUAGAUAUCACGAAGAACUCCGAUUGCGAAGGCAGCUUACUAACCUGUAACUGACAUUGAUGCUCGAAAGUGUGGGUAUCAAACAGGAUUAGAUACCCUGGUAGUCCACACGGUAAACGAUGAAUACUCGCUGUAGGCGAUAUACAGUCUGCGGCCAAGCGAAAGCAUUAAGUAUUCCACCUGGGGAGUACGCCGGCAACGGUGAAACUCAAAGGAAUUGACGGGGGCCCGCACAAGCGGAGGAACAUGUGGUUUAAUUCGAUGAUACGCGAGGAACCUUACCCGGGCUUAAAUUGCAACCGAAUAUGGCGGAAACGCUAUAGCUAGCAAUAGCGGUUGUGAAGGUGCUGCAUGGUUGUCGUCAGCUCGUGCCGUGAGGUGUCGGCUUAAGUGCCAUAACGAGCGCAACCCUUGCCGAUAGUUACUAACAGGUCAUGCUGAGGACUCUGUCGGGACUGCCAUCGUAAGAUGUGAGGAAGGUGGGGAUGACGUCAAAUCAGCACGGCCCUUACGUCCGGGGCUACACACGUGUUACAAUGGGGGGUACAGAGGGCUGCUACCACGCAAGUGGAUGCCAAUCCCAAAAACCUCUCUCAGUUCGGAUUGAAGUCUGCAACCCGACUUCAUGAAGCUGGAUUCGCUAGUAAUCGCGCAUCAGCCACGGCGCGGUGAAUACGUUCCCGGGCCUUGUACACACCGCCCGUCAAGCCAUGGGAGCCGGGGGUACCUGAAGUGCGUAACCGCAAGGAGCGCCCUAGGGUAAAACUGGUGACUGGGGCUAAGUCGUAACAAGGUAGCCG